GAUCAAAUGGAGUUACUUGGCAAUGUAAAGUUGCUCAAAUUUGGUUCUGGUCAGAGAGGUUUUUUGGGGCAUUUUGGUGAACCAAAACUAUUGGGGUUGAGAUGAAACUUGACAGGGUCAUCACAUUAGGCAUAUGUGACUUGAUAGAAUUUUCUUGGAUUUGUUUGAUGAUAUUUCUUAUAGAAACAUUUCAAAUACUUGAAAUGAACAUAAAUGGUUUUGAAGGGUAUCCAAUAUUUUGAACAUGACCAUGUGUUGAAACUCAUAUAGGUCUAGUGAGUCUCCCUAAAAAAAUUCAAUUUUUUUGAAAGCAUUAAAAAAAAAUCCUUAUAAAAGACCAUUUCUGGCGUUAGAAAAAGGUAUUUAAAUAAAAUACAAAAAUACCUUUAAAAAAUAUUUUUUGUGGUUUUGCGGAGUCUUAUAGGUAAUAGGUUCCAAAUAAAAUAUUACUCCCUCCAUUUUUAUAUACAAGGCCACAAACCCAUAUUACAGGUAUCACGACAAAAGUUAAUGCCUUUUAGGUCAAUGUUGCAAGACAACUUGUCUCCUUAUUUGUCUCAUGCACAUCAAGCCAAUGAUCUCACUCCUGCAUGCAUGCAAGGGAUAAUUAAUGUCCUUUGUUAGUACUACGAGGCAAACACCAUUAAUAUUGCAUCGAUUAGUGUUAGUAGCCUUGUAUUUUUGCAAAUUGUAAUUUGAUAGUGGCCUUGUAUAUAAAAAUGAAGGGAGUACAAACCUCAAUUCAGGGGGUUUUGAAAACCUAAAUUAAAUAAAUGCCUUUUGGCCAAAUUAAUAUUUUAUAAAAAUAGUUUUAUGUCCUGUACACAUGGUAUGAUCAUUGGACAAGGAUUUAGAUCAAGGAGAUGAGUUCUGAGAGCAGGAGGUUUUUUGUGAAUUGAAACACAAACAAACAAAUAACAAUCAACUCAAGCAUUCACAUCAACACAAUUUUUUUUAAUUGGUCCAAAUUUUUAAAAUUAUGAUUAUAGCAAGGUGAUACAAACAGAGGGUGUGAUACCAAGGUAACUAACCAAAUUACGAGACGGAAGCAGCAGCAACAACAACAACAACAAACAAUAACCAAGCCUUUCAGUCCCAAACAAGUUGGGGUAGGCUAGAGUUGAAACCCAUAAGAUCUCGAAGCCAAGUCAUGGCUCUGGAACGUGGAUAGCUAACUUCCACGCACCCCUGUCCAUGGCUAAGUCUUUGUCCCAAACCUUUAGUCCCAAACAAGUUAGGGUUAGGCUAGAGCUGAGACUCAUAAGAUCUCGAAAACAACUCAUGGUUCUGGCACAUGGAUAGCUAACUUGCACGCACUCCUGCCCAUGGCUAGUUCUUUGGUGAUAUUUCAGUCCUAAGCAAGGAUCACUAAACUUUUUUUGUCACUAAUAAUUGCCCUUGCAUUGCAACGGGAUACAAAUAUUCUAGUACGUUAUUUACCUGCCCAUAUUAAUGUGAUUGUGUAAAUAAAUGUUAUCAAAUCCUGCCCAUGAUUUACCUACCUAUAUAAAUUUUAGGAUUUUAUUUGGUAAAAUUUAUUGGCUUACCAAAGAAAACAUAAUUUUAUUUGGUAAGUCAAUAAAAGGUGGGACAAUUAAGAUGGUUUUCAAGGAACACCUGUGAAUAAAAACAAAAAUAGGAGGGAAAAAAUCAAAAUGGAAAGAGGGAGUAGGAACGUACGUAAGGUUGGAGGAAGCACUCUGCCUGGCAGGUAAAGGAAGCUGUUCCUUUUUGAAGUAGUAGAGAUGUUUGUAUGUUCAUGUAUGUAAGAUGCACCAUUUUCUUUUGAUUAUGAGGCUUUGUAUCUCUCUAACCCAUUGUAAUGUACUACAGGGUUCGUUUCCAUUAUGGUCAUCCUGAUAUUUUUGAUAGACUCUUCCAUAUUACUAGGGGUGGCAUAAGUAAAGCUUCGAAGACUAUAAAUUUAAGCGAAGAUAUCUUUUCAGGUAAGUCUAUUUAAGUGAAAUAUCUUUUCAGGGAAGUCUACAUCUCUUAUGAACGUUUCAGUCAUCCCUUACCUAAAAUGCAUUUAUUGAAUACAUUUUCUUAGGUUUUAAUUCAACAAUGAGGGAAGGAAAUAUCACACAUCAUGAGUAUAUGCAAGUUGGUAAAGGACGUGAUGUGGGGAUGAACCAAAUUUCAAGCUUUGAAGCUAAGGUUGCCAAUGGAAAUGGUGAACAAACAUUGAGUCGUGACAUCUAUCGUCUUGGACGCAGAUUUGACUUCUACAGAAUGCUGUCUUUCUACUUCACUACAGUUGGCUUUUAUUUCAGUAGUAUGGUAAGAAUACAUUAACUGACCCCUGAAGGUAUCUAGGUGUAACAUUCUCUCUAAAAAAUGCUGAUGUUAUUCCUUGUUUCUGAUGCGUUUAUUAUUGGACUGUAUGAUAGAACCAUGCUAAGCAUUUAGAUAAAAAUCCAAUUGUGAGGGCUCUUUAUAGAUUAUUAAAAAGACUACACAAAACAAAACGUGAGAAUUAGAUGGAGAUGAUCGAAGUUCAAGCCAUUUAUUUCAUUAUGACCAGUAUGUUAAAAUGGUAAUUAGCAAUAUCAUCCUUUACAACAAAAUCAACAAUAUUUGCAUUCAUGGGAUAUUCCUAAAAUGGCCCUUUUUAGGAUUUUAGUUAUUAUUCAUAGACGGAACUUAUAGUUUAGCCAUGGUGUCAAACACACAAUGUGCUCAUUCUGCAUAUUUUGGGAUACUGACAUCCAUAGUUACUUCUUUCAGGUUACUGUACUUACAGUCUAUGUAUUUUUGUAUGGGAGGUUAUAUCUCGUCAUGAGUGGUCUGGAAAAGUCUAUUGUGCUGGAUCCACGUGUU
rnacentral:lncRNA from 1 species